UACACUCCUGCGGGAGGCAGCAGUGGGGAAUAUUGGACAAUGGGCGCAAGCCUGAUCCAGCCAUGCCGCGUGAGUGAUGAAGGCCCUAGGGUUGUAAAGCUCUUUCACCGGUGAAGAUAAUGACGGUAACCGGAGAAGAAGCCCCGGCUAACUUCGUGCCAGCAGCCGCGGUAAUACGAAGGGGGCUAGCGUUGUUCGGAUUUACUGGGCGUAAAGCGCACGUAGGCGGACUAUUAAGUCAGGGGUGAAAUCCCGGGGCUCAACCCCGGAACUGCCUUUGAUACUGGUAGUCUUGAGUUCGAGAGAGGUGAGUGGAAUUCCGAGUGUAGAGGUGAAAUUCGUAGAUAUUCGGAGGAACACCAGUGGCGAAGGCGGCUCACUGGCUCGAUACUGACGCUGAGGUGCGAAAGCGUGGGGAGCAAACAGGAUUAGAAACCCGGGUAGUCCC
rnacentral:rRNA from 1 species